UUGACAGAUGCUCAGCGGCGCAUGUAAAGAUCUCCGUCCAUUAUUAUUUGUCCCACAGCUGAGAUGAAAGGCUCGCCUGAGGCAAGGAACGCCAAGACCCUUUCAAAAACUGAAGGCUUCACAGAAAAAAAUCAGCAAGAACAUUGUACUCUAAUUGUUUGCCUAAAAUGAAUAGGUCUAGAAACGACUAACAUCAGUUUUCCAUGAUGCAUCAUCUUGUUCAGAAGUUUACAUCCCUUUUUGUUGUCUUUUGGCGAGUAUACACCACUCGGAGCGGUUGUUUGUAGCUGCCGUCCAGGCGUUGGUCUUGCCCUGUUUGUCCAGACGGGCGUAAUGCGGGUGCCAGGUGAAGGCCUCAAUGCCCCAGGUGCGGAAAGCGCUGGACGAUGUCAUCUGCCGGUCACUGAUGAGCCGAGACUUGACGCCGAGCGGCUCGGAGCAACCUGUCGUGUUCAAAUACACUGUGAAGUGAGACAGCGGACAAAGGGAAGUGGCAGAGAGAUGGAUGGGAAGCGUCAGCACAAGCAGCACAAACCAAAGCAGUCAUGCAGUUGAGAGUGUGUGAAGCGCAUGCAGGCGACAGUCGGCGCUGUGUGUGUAUGUGAAGCUGCUCAGAGACACAUGGAGGAGUGAAGUGGGCAAUGCUGUGAAUGAGACAUUGACAUGCGCAACAUUAUAUUAGCUGAAAAUUAGAGUUUCACACAGAUGAUUAAGCAUAAUAUAUCGGUCAUUUUUAAUUGAUCAAUUUCAUACUUAUUUAAUGUUAGUUUUAAUAAGAAUUUAUUAAUACAGGAAAAUCUUUCAUGCAUUAGAUAGAAUUUUUA
rnacentral:lncRNA from 1 species